UACGUAGGGUGCAAGCGUUAAUCGGAAUUACUGGGCGUAAAGCAUGCGCAGGCGGUUAUGCAAGACAGAUGUGAAAUCCCCGGGCUCAACCUGGGAACUGCAUUUGUGACUGCAUGGCUAGAGUGCGGCAGAGGGGGAUGGAAUUCCGCGUGUAGCAGUGAAAUGCGUAGAUAUGCGGAGGAACACCGAUGGCGAAGGCAAUCCCCUGGGCCUGCACUGACGCUCAUGCACGAAAGCGUGGGGAGCAAACAGGAUUAGAUACCCGGGUAGUCCACGCCCUAAACGAUGUCAACUGGUUGUUGGAAGGGUUCCCUUUCAGUAACGAAGCUAACGCGUGAAGUUGACCGCCUGGGGAGUACGGCCGCAAGGUUGAA
rnacentral:rRNA from 1 species